rnacentral:lncRNA from 1 species
AUAUAUGUUUAAAUGUUAUGUGAUAUGAGUAUUGCGAUAUAUGCUUAAAUUUUAUGUGGUUAUAUGUGUAAUGUGAUACAUGCUUAAAACUGAAUAUGAUUACCAUAUAAAUGAACUAGUAAAUAAUGCAUGAGUGAGUACAAUAUGACACUAGAGUUGGAACUGUUAAGGUUGUGCUAUAUGGUUGUUUUGUUAAUGCUUGAUUAAUUGUUUGCAUGAUGGUUGUUCUAGCCAUUUACUAAGCUUGUU